rfam:Camelus ferus unplaced genomic scaffold scaffold916, whole genome shotgun sequence.
GGGGGUACAGCUCAGUGGUAGAGUGCACGCUUGGCAUGCACGAGGUCCUGGGUUCAAUGCCCAGCGCCUCUG